GACGAACGCUGGCGGCGUGCUUAACACAUGCAAGUCGAGCGGAGCGGCGAACGGGUGAGUAACGCGUGAGUAUUUGCCCCCCUCCCUGGGAUUACAGUUGGAAACGGAUGCUAAUACCGGAUAGUUGGGGAUGGCUCGCGUCCUAUCGGCCUGUGGGUGGGGUAGUGGCCUACCAACGCGCCGACGGGUAGCCGGCCUGGGAGGGCGAACGGCCGAGUUGGGCUGAGAUACGGCCCGAACUCCUACGGGGGGCAGCGGGGGGGAAUAUUGCACGAUGGGGGAAGCGCUGAUGCAGCGACGCCGCGGGCGGGAUGGCUGCCAUCGGGUUGUAAACCGCUUUCAGCCAUGACGCGGUAGUGGCAGAAGAAGCACCGGCUAACUACGUGCCAGCAGCCGCGGUAAUAC
rnacentral:rRNA from 1 species